AGUGAACGCUGGCGGUAGGCCUAACACAUGCAAGUCGAACGGCAGCACAGUAAGAGCUUGCUCUUACGGGUGGCGAGUGGCGGACGGGUGAGGAAUACAUCGGAAUCUACUUUUUCGUGGGGAUAACGUAGGGAAACUUACGCUAAUACCGCAUACGACCUACGGGUGAAAGCAGGGGAUCUUCGGACCUUGCGCGAUUGAAUGAGCCGAUGUCGGAUUAGCUAGUUGGCGGGGUAAGGGCCCACCAAGGCGACGAUCCGUAGCUGGUCUGAGAGGAUGAUCAGCCACACUGGAACUGAGACACGGUCCAGACUCCUACGGGAGGCAGCAGUGGGGAAUAUUGGACAAUGGGCGCAAGCCUGAUCCAGCCAUACCGCGUGGGUGAAGAAGGCCUUCGGGUUGUAAAGCCCUUUUGUUGGGAAAGAAAAGCAGCAGGUUAAUACCCCGCUGUUCUGACGGUACCCAAAGAAUAAGCACCGGCUAACUUCGUG
rnacentral:rRNA from 1 species